AGAGUUUGAUCCUGGCUCAGGAUGAACGCUGACAGAAUGCUUAACACAUGCAAGUCUACUUGAUCCUUCGGGUGAAGGUGGCGGACGGGUGAGUAACGCGUAAAGAACUUGCCUUACAGACUGGGACAACAUUUGGAAACGAAUGCUAAUACCGGAUAUUAUGACUGAGUCGCAUGAUUUGGUUAUGAAAGCUAUAUGCGCUGUGAGAGAGCUUUGCGUCCCAUUAGUUAGUUGGUGAGGUAACGGCUCACCAAGACGAUGAUGGGUAGCCGGCCUGAGAGGGUGAACGGCCACAAGGGGACUGAGACACGGCCCUUACUCCUACGGGAGGCAGCAGUGGGGAAUAUUGGACAAUGGACCAAAAGUCUGAUCCAGCAAUUCUGUGUGCACGAUGAAGUUUUUCGGAAUGUAAAGUGCUUUCAGUUGGGAAGAAGUCAGUGACGGUACCAACAGAAGAAGCGACGGCUAAAUACGUGCCAGCAGCCGCGGUAAUACGUAUGUCGCAAGCGUUAUCCGGAUUUAUUGGGCGUAAAGCGCGUCUAGGCGGUUUAGUAAGUCUGAUGUGAAAAUGCGGGGCUCAACCCCGUAUUGCGUUGGAAACUGCUAAACUAGAGUACUGGAGAGGUAGGCGGAACUACAAGUGUAGAGGUGAAAUUCGUAGAUAUUUGUAGGAAUGCCGAUGGGGAAGCCAGCCUACUGGACAGAUACUGACGCUAAAGCGCGAAAGCGUGGGUAGCAAACAGGAUUAGAUACCCUGGUAGUCCACGCCGUAAACGAUGAUUACUAGGUGUUGGGGGUCGAACCUCAGCGCCCAAGCUAACGCGAUAAGUAAUCCGCCUGGGGAGUACGUACGCAAGUAUGAAACUCAAAGGAAUUGACGGGGACCCGCACAAGCGGUGGAGCAUGUGGUUUAAUUCGACGCAACGCGAGGAACCUUACCAGCGUUUGACAUCCCAAGAAGUUAACAGAGAUGUUUUCGUGCCUCUUCGGAGGAACUUGGUGACAGGUGGUGCAUGGCUGUCGUCAGCUCGUGUCGUGAGAUGUUGGGUUAAGUCCC
rnacentral:rRNA from 1 species